UCCCAGCUGGCUUAGUGAGUAAAGAAACUGUCUGCAAUGCAGGAGACUCAGGUUUGAUCCCUGGGUUGGGAA
rnacentral:tRNA from 1 species